rnacentral:rRNA from 1 species
UACGUAGGGCGCGAGCGUUGUCCGGAAUUAUUGGGCGUAAAGAGCUCGUAGGCGGCCUGUUGCGUCCGCUGUGAAAUCCCAGGGCUCAACCCUGGGCGUGCAGUGGAUACGGGCAGGCUGGAGGCAGGCAGGGGAGAACGGAAUUCCCGGUGUAGCGGUGAAAUGCGUAGAUAUCGGAAGGAACACCAGUGGCGAAAGCGGCUUCCUGGUCCAGCACCGACGUUCAGGCACGAAAGCGUGGGGAGCAAACAGG